AUUGAACGCUGGCGGAAUGCUUUACACAUGCAAGUCGAACGGUAGAGGGGGCAACCCCUCGAGAGUGGCGAACGGGUGAGUAAUAUAUCGGAACGUGCCCAGUCGUGGGGGAUAACGUAGCGAAAGUUACGCUAAUACCGCAUACGAUCUAUGGAUGAAAGCGGGGGACCGUAAGGCCUCGCGCGAUUGGAGCGGCCGAUGUCAGAUUAGGUAGUUGGUGGGGUAAAGGCUCACCAAGCCGACGAUCUGUAGCUGGUCUGAGAGGACGACCAGCCACACUGGGACUGAGACACGGCCCAGACUCCUACGGGAGGCAGCAGUGGGGAAUUUUGGACAAUGGGCGCAAGCCUGAUCCAGCAAUGCCGCGUGCAGGAAGAAGGCCUUCGGGUUGUAAACUGCUUUUGUACGGAACGAAACGGCUCUGGUUAAUACCUGGGGCUAAUGACGGUACCGUAAGAAUAAGCACCGGCUAACUACGUG
rnacentral:rRNA from 1 species